rnacentral:lncRNA from 1 species
CGCCCUCAGCCCCAGCUUGGGGCUGGACCCCAGCCUCCAGCCUCACCUCCUGCCGGCCUCUCUGCUUGCCCUCCCCGCCCCAGAGGGGGGGUGGGAGGCCUUGAGAUUGUCCCCGGUACCCCAAGGACGCCGAGGUUACGGGAAGUUUGGGGACUCGGGCCCCAGGACCAUGUAGGAGACGCUCCUCAGGCCGCUGCUGUUGUGCGGGAGUUUUCACAUUAGGUUAAUUGAAGUUGGAAGACUCACCCUAGCUGUGAGCAGCACCAUCCAUAGGACUGAAGAAAAAAGGAGAAAGUGAGCCAAACACCAGCAUUCAUCUCUCUCUCUGCUCCCUGCCCUGAAGCAAGAUGCAACGUGAGCAGCUACCUCACAAACGGGUUACUGUGGCUCCCCACCAUGAAGGGCUGUGCCCUUCAACCGUGAGCCGAAAUAAGCCCUUACAUAGUUGCUUCUUGUUGGUUAGUCUGUCACAGCAAACUAAUAGUAAGACAGAAUCCCAGAAAUCCAUCAUUUAAAAGCCAACGUGAGUCACUUGGACAGCGAGCCUUUGGUACAUCCGGCUACUUACUGAGCUCCUGGGACAAACUAAGAUACUUGAUUGUACAGGAACUGCUGAAGCAAGAUGAGGAAGGAGCCUCUUCAUUUCACAGAUGGGAAACUGAGUCCCGAGAGUCACGUUAUAGCUGUGAUCUGAGAAGCCCCAUCUGGUUCAGGGGUCCUGGGUGACAUCUGCCUCGGAACAGCAUGCACCCAGGAAAUGUCAGCAGCCAGCUGGGGUUUCCAGGAACAGACCCUGUGGAGCUGUCAUCGUUCCUCCUGGACGGAGAAGCAUCUGUGUUCUACAGUCUCUUAAGAGGGCUGUUCAAAGUCAGAGAUUGAAGGGGAGAGAUGUUUAUUUAUGACCUCAGCUGUGGCAUCUUAGGCUGGUUACUUAACCUCUCUGAUCUGAUUUCUGUUCCCUCUGCAUUAAAAUGAAGGUAAUAACGUCAAUUUUAUUUAUUUAUUUUUUAAGACUUGGGAUGGAGUGAAUAUCAGACAGCUACAAGGAAGGAUUUAGAAGCAGGCCACUUGGCCACUUGGGAUUUACUAGCCAGCAGACUCCCUGGCUAGUUGAGUGUGUGAGUGUUUGCCUGUAACUGUACCUGUACACAUGCCUACUUGGUGGCCUAGGAGGCCAGAAGAAGGUGGUCAGAUCUCCUGGAACUGGAGUUAUAGGCGGUUGUGGGCCACCAUCUGGGUCCUGGGAUACUGAACCUGUGUCCUCUGCAAGAGCAGCAAGUGUUCUUAACGACUGAGCCAUUUCUUCGGCCCUCUUUCUUCAAUUCUCCAUUGUCCUGCUAGAAGGCAGAAUGACUUCGUCGACAACCUCAUGCAGGAGUGGAACCAAUCUCCUUCCCCGUGGGUGGCUGGGCAUGUAGCUUCCUCUUUCUGUCUUGAGUGUUGCCAAGGAAAAGGGGCUGCAGAUCUCCCCUGGAUUGCAGAGUGGGAGACAAAGCAAGGGCCCCAGAAGAGCUCUCUGGAUGCUCCUGGCUACUGAAUCAACCGCAGAGCGCCCUCUGGGGCUGGGGUCUGACACUGUUACCCCUCCUGGCCUUAUGGACGCAGAUCCAGCUCAGCCUCACAAUGAAUUCAAUGGUUCCUGAAAGCUUGUGCUCGGCCUGCCCACCUUCAUCCACAGGGCAACAUGGGAGCCAGACUUCUCUCUGUGGUAUAAGGUCUUCCAGAAUGAGCCCAGUGUGGACGGGGAAACGUUGAAUACAGGGCACCCAGGAAUGGAAAAGACACCAAGGGAUGUAUCACCUCUGUAUCGAGCACCCAGGGGAACAGGCCCCAGUAUCCUGAGUUCUUCCAGGAGAAGGAAGAUGGCGAAGACAGUGAGGGAAGAGAGCAGACGUCUGACUCCGGGGUGCUUAUCUGUGUGGAAGAGACCGGUUCUUCCUGACUGGCUUCAUGUCCCUCAAGAUCCCAAAGAAGGCUAUGGCUAUUUCAAAGCCAGAGAAUAGGGGCAGAGACUCAGCAGCCUGCUCCUGGGUGCAAAGAGACAAGGCCAGGUGCAGCCUGUGCUCACAGUCUUGGAAGCUUGGUGGUGGUGGAGUAGGUUCUCCCUGUGAGGAAUGAUCUGUCCAUCAUUGAAGAUGUCCAGUAUGGAACCCCAGGACAAGCUGGGGCUCCCAUGAUACAUGGAGGAAGCAGACUGAUGGUGGCAUGUACUGGACUCCAGUAAGGCUGUGGUUGUUAUUGACUUCUAUAAGGCUAUGGAUGUUAUCACAGACCUGUCACCAACUAUAGCAGUGUUUGCACUCGAGUGAGGCCUUGACUUGGUCCCCAUUUCUCUUUGUCAAUAUGUUCCUGGAUUCUCACCACCAAUAAGAGCAAGCAGAGACACCAAACAUACUUGCUCUGCCGUUCACAUACAGCCAUCACAGAAGACAUAGGCAAGAUGGUGUAUCUUCAUUUGCACCUUGGCAGGACUUAGAAUCACAACAGCAACAUUGCUGGGUGUGUCUAUGCCAGUUUUUAAAGACUUGGUUAACUGAAGAAAGAAGAUGUACCAUGAGUGUGGUUGCUACUGUCCUAUGAGCUGGGGGACCUGAACUAAAUAAGAUGAAAGUGAGCUGAGCACCAGCAUCCAUCUCCCUUUGCUUCCUGACUGUGGAUACAAUGUGACCAGCUGCCUCAGGCUCCUGCUGCCAUGUCUUCUCUGCUAUGAUGGACUGUAUUCUCAACCUAUGAGCCUAGAUAAGCCCUUCCUCCAGUUCCUUUUGUCACAGUGAUUAGAAAGGUGACUAAAACUGUAAAAUACAAAUUUCAGGCAGAGACAUGACAGUCACUGGAUCCUGAUAUAGGGACUUCUCACAUCUCUGCUCACACUUCAUUCUGAAAUAUAGAGUUGCAGGGAGUCACGCUUAUACAAAACUGGCAAGGCGGAUCUCACUGUCUCACUGUGUGAACCCUGUCAAAAUCUUGUGUUCUUGUGUCUCCUGAAAGCUCCUCCUUCUCAUGAAAAAAAAUUAUAUAUUAUAUAUAUAAUUUUUUAUAAAGGUCAUAAACUCGCCCCACUUUCUGUGUGCCUGUGUGUGCAUAUAUCUAUCUGCGCAUGUGUAUGGAGGCCAGAGGACAACCUUGACUGUCGUUCACAAAGUGCCUCUCACAUUUUGUUGUGCUGGAACUUCGCCUAAGAAGUGGGUUAAACUGGCCAGUAAGCCUCAGGAGUGCUUCCGUCUCCACCUUCUCAGUGCUGAGAUUACAAACUGGAGCCUUGUGUCUGGCCUUCAACGUGGAUUCUCAGGAUCCAAGGAUCCAACAUUGGGCUCCCAUGCUAACAAGGUGUUCUCCUGGCUCUUCAAGUAUUUACCCGUCUGUGUGUGACUCAUAUCCAGGAACCCAGGCAGCUUCCCUCAAUAGAUUGCUGGCUUCAGAAGAUGAGCCUCCCCUGCCGCUCCACAAGGCUCAAGUGCUUCAAUGAAAUAAAAGAGAACUGAAAUAAAAGAGAAAUAAAAGAGUCU